UACGUAGGGAGCAAGCGUUGUCCGGAAUUACUGGGUGUAAAGGGUGAGUAGGCGGCAUGGUAAGCCAGAUGUGAAAGCCUUGGGCUUAACCCGAGGAUUGCAUUUGGAACUAUCAAGCUAGAGUACAGGAGAGGAAAGCGGAAUUCCUAGUGUAGCGGUGAAAUGCGUAGAUAUUAGGAAGAACACCAGUGGCGAAGGCGGCUUUCUGGACUGAAACUGACGCUGAGGCACGAAAGCGUGGGGAGCGAACAGG
rnacentral:rRNA from 1 species